CAUCAGAAGAGCCACUCAAAAGACAAAAAGCGAAAACCCUGAGCUACUAGUUAUCUCUGAUAACUAACAGGGGCGGAGCCAAAAGAUGGGGAAUCUCUCCUGCCAGUUUAGGCGAUAUUUGUCCCCUGCCGGACACUGUUUAUCAGUUCCCAAGUUAUACCCAGAAAGGUACGGAAGGAGAGGGGAUCCAAAGAAAUUCUAACAAAAUGAUGAACUGCUGGAGGAGCUGUGAUAUGUGACCUUUCAACGUGAAAAGACGAAAGUUGAGAAGAUUCAAUUAAAGGCUAUCAAAUGAUUAUCCCUGAAUUGAACAAGCACUUGUUGCUCAAAUAAAUUCUGGGCUGUGGAGUCAAGAGGAACACCUGAAAGAACUAUUUUAUAUAAUACACAAUUAUGAUUUUUUUAAUCCAAGAAGUGGUACUAGCUACAGAGAUAAAAUCACUUUUGAAAACCCUCAUCAAAGAUAGAUCCAUAUUGGUUAGUGGAUAGAUCCAUAAUGGGGGCAUCUCUCUAAAUCUUUAUUAUCUGUAUUAAAGAAGACAGCCAAAUAUCCCUUAUUCUGUCAGAAUAAUGCUGUCAAUUAUGGUUCUAAGCUAGAAGGGGGAUCCUUUCCUAUAAAGAGACCAUUUUUAAAGUGGAAUGUCUCCUGCAGACACCCUCAUUGUGCAGGUAACAAGAACUUAGGGCUGAUGUGUAUGCUGACCCAACCUCAUCCAAGAUUUAGUAGGCAGAGAGGACGGUGAUAUUAUUACUUUUGGUGUUUGGACCUAGGACUCUGGAGUUUCUUAAGUAUUUUCCAGAAUAGUAAUAGAAGUUAAAAAGUUUCUACAGAUAAUUACUUGAAACACUGAAUACCACUGCAACACACAGUUCUUUCAAAUGAAAUAAACAGAGGAAGUGUGGGCUCUGGGACUGGGCUGCUUGGGUUCAAAUCUUGGCCCCACCACAUACUAACUUUGUGACCUCAAGUAGCUUAAUUCAUCGAUUUCAGUUUCCUUAGCUAAAACUGAAAUAAUUUAAGCAUUCAGUAAUGUCCGGCCCUCAGUAAGCAAGUAAUAAAUGUUAUGUAUUAUUGUUAAUUAAUCCUUUUCUCGAUUCCAAAAGAUGGCCAAUAAUGAAGGGUUUGUUUUAACUGUAACAACUCUAUAAUAAAGUAGUACCGGAUAUUAAUGGAAGAGGCUACUUCUGUUCUGAGUACAGGAGUGCAGAGCUUUUCUAAGUGCUUGUAUCUUAGCGCUCUCUACCGCCAUCCUCACCAUACAGAUAUUUCUCAUUUCAGAGCCCUGCUCAAUCCUCUUUCGUCAUUAGCUGUACCUCAUAUCUCAGAGUCCAGCAACCUCUUCAUACAACUAUUUUAUCUUCAUUGGCAGUCCUUUCGCAGACCCUUUCUAUUGCACUCUCUGGAACCCCUAUUUGAUUGUCAGGUUACUUUUUCAUCCAAAGCCCAGUUUAAGCUCACUUCAUUUUUCAGCAUUUUAGAAACCUGGGUCUCCCCCAACCUCCAGGUGCUUUUUGCCUUAAACAUUCACAUCUUGUUUACCUUGAAUCAAUUAGAAAAGAGAAGCCAAACUUAUUCUCAUCCUUAAUGUUAUUUCUAAGCCACUGCUUCAUGAUUCAUUUGAGUUUUACAUCACUCUAUCUGGCUGUUGUGGUACUACUAUUGACUGCCAUUACUUCUAUGUUGGACUCACUUCAUAUGGUUCCUUUCCAUCCUGUUAUUGUUGAUGAUUCCAAAAUCCAUGUAGAUAAGCUGCUUCAAAGGACUCUAAUUUCCUAGAUCCUGUCAUUGUCAUACUACAUCUAUCCUUUACACAUGAAGAUGUACUCUUGACUUCAUCACAAGACAGUCUCUGUUCACUGCUCCCCAAUUCCAUAUCUAACAUCUCUCAUGUCCUCCACUUGCCCCUCAGGGCCUUCAGCUUCUCUGUUGCCAACUUAGUUCCAAUAAGUAACCUUAUUCUACUAUAUUUUCUCCUUAUCCUGGAUAACUAGUUUGAUCUCCUUUGAUCCCUACCUGGAAAUUUCAUGCCACUCCACCUUUUUUUGGUAGUACAACUGUAUUUAGGCACAAGAAACCACCAGAACAAACCCCCAUUUAUUUUUAAACAAGUUAUGAACUGUAUCUUUCUAUGUAAUAGGCAUAUCCCAUUGUUCUGGGUCUUUGUUUAUGGUUGCUUUAUAAGAUUAGGUACUUAAGAGAGUCAGAGGCAAAUGGAGGAAAAAGUGUGCAUU